rnacentral:rRNA from 1 species
GAUGAACGCUGGCGGCGUGCUUAACACAUGCAAGUCGAACGGGAAUUAUUUUAUUGAAACUUCGGUCGAUUUAAUUUACUUCUAGUGGCGGACGGGUGAGUAACGCGUGGGUAACCUGCCUUAUACAGGGGGAUAACAGUCAGAAAUGGCUGCUAAUACCGCAUAAGCGCACAGAGCUGCAUGGCUCAGUGUGAAAAACUCCGGUGGUAUAAGAUGGACCCGCGUUGGAUUAGCUGGUUGGUGGGGUAACGGCCCACCAAGGCGACGAUCCAUAGCCGGCCUGAGAGGGUGAACGGCCACAUUGGGACUGAGACACGGCCCAGACUCCUACGGGAGGCAGCAGUGGGGAAUAUUGCACAAUGGGGGAAACCCUGAUGCAGCGACGCCGCGUGAAGGAAGAAGUAUCUCGGUAUGUAAACUUCUAUCAGCAGGGAAGAUAGUGACGGUACCUGACGAAGAAGCCCCGGCUAACUACGUG